AUACGGAGGAUCCGAGCGUUAUCCGGAUUUAUUGGGUUUAAAGGGAGCGUAGGUGGAUUGUUAAGUCAGUUGUGAAAGUUUGCGGCUCAACCGUAAAAUUGCAGUUGAAACUGGCAGUCUUGAGUACAGUAGAGGUGGGCGGAAUUCGUGGUGUAGCGGUGAAAUGCUUAGAUAUCACGAAGAACUCCGAUUGCGAAGGCAGCUCACUAGACUGUUACUGACACUGAUGCUCGAAAGUGUGGGUAUCAAACAGGAUUAGAUACCCUGGUAGUCCACACAGUAAACGAUGAAUACUCGCUGUUUGCGAUAUACAGUAAGCGGCCAAGCGAAAGCGUUAAGUAUUCCACCUGGGGAGUACGCCGGCAACGGUGAAACUCAAAGGAAUUGACGGGG
rnacentral:rRNA from 1 species